GAUGAACGCUGGCGGUAUGCUUAACACAUGCAAGUCGAACGGUCUCUUCGGAGAUAGUGGCGGACGGGUGAGUAACGCGUGAGAACAUGCCUUUAGAUUGGGGACAACAGUUGGAAACGACUGCUAAUACCGAAUGUGCCUUAGGGUGAAAGAUUUAUUGUCUAGAGAUUGGCUCGCGUCAGAUUAGCUAGUUGGAGUGGUAACGGCACACCAAGGCGACGAUCUGUACUUGGUCUGAGAGGAUGACCAGGCACACUGGAACUGAGACACGGUCCAGACUCCUACGGGAGGCAGCAGUGGGGAAUUUUCCGCAAUGGGCGAAAGCCUGACGGAGCAAUACCGCGUGAGGGAGGACGGCUUUUGGGUUGUAAACCUCUUUUAUCAGGGAAGAAUCGAUGACGGUACCUGAUGAAUCAGCAUCGGCUAACUCCGUGCCAGCAGCCGCGGUAAUACGGAGGAUGCAAGCGUUAUCCGGAAUUAUUGGGCGUAAAGCGUCCGUAGGUGGUUUAUCAAGUCUGCUGUCAAAGCGUGCGGCUUAACCGCAUAAGGGCAGUGGAAACUGAUGAACUAGAGUGCGAUAGGGGUAACAGGAAUUCCCAGUGUAGCGGUGAAAUGCGUAGAUAUUGGGAAGAACACCAGCGGCGAAAGCGUGUUACUGGGUCUGCACUGACACUGAGGGACGAAAGCUAGGGGAGCGAAAGGGAUUAGAUACCCCUGUAGUCCUAGCCGUAAACGAUGACAACUAGGCGUGGUUCGUAUCGACCCGAGCCGUGCCGUAGCCAACGCGUUAAGUUGUCCGCCUGGGGAGUACGCACGCAAGUGUGAAACUCAAAGGAAUUGACGGGGGCCCGCACAAGCGGUGGAGUAUGUGGUUUAAUUCGAUGCAACGCGAAGAACCUUACCAAGGCUUGACAUCCUCGGAACCCUGAUGAAAGUUAGGGGUGCCUUCGGGAGCCGAGAGACAGGUGGUGCAUGGCUGUCGUCAGCUCGUGUCGUGAGAUGUUGGGUUAAGUCCCGCAACGAGCGCAACCCACGUUUUUAGUUGCCAGCAUUCAGUUGGGCACUCUAGAGAGACUGCCGGUGACAAACCGGAGGAAGGUGUGGAUGACGUCAAGUCAGCAUGCCCCAUACGCCUUGGGCUACACACGUACUACAAUGCGUCGGACAAAGAGCAGCCAGCCAGCGAUGGUGAGCCAAUCUCAUAAACCGGCGCUCAGUUCAGAUUGCAGGCUGCAACUCGCCUGCAUGAAGGCGGAAUCGCUAGUAAUCGCAGGUCAGCAUACUGCGGUGAAUACGUUCCCGGGCCUUGUACACACCGCCCGUCACACCAUGGGAGUUGGUCACGCCCGAAGUCGUUACUCUAACUGCUUGCAGAGGAGGACGCCGAAGGUGGGGCUGAUGACUGGGGUGAAGUCGUAACAAGGUAGCCGUACCGGAAGGUGUGGCUGGAUCACCUCCUUA
rnacentral:rRNA from 1 species